rnacentral:tRNA from 1 species
GGGCGGCUAGCUCAGCGGGAGAGCACUGCCUUCACACGGCAGGGGUCGCUGGUUCGAUCCCAGCGCCGCCCA